UCAUGAUGUUACUUUUUACCCAAUGCAGAACUUGGCUUGAUGGAAAUGGUGAACUGCCCUCCAGAAUUAUGAUGAAAUAGGCUAGAAAGAAGAGCUGUGAAUUAAGAGAGAAGAUACAGUGUGAGUGAGUGAGAGAUUGUUCCAUGAGUGAGAGAUUCUUUUAUGUGUUUGUAAACAUGUCAUGUCAGCAUUCUAUAUAGCAUGGUAAUUCUUUUUGUGUGGCACUGUCAAUAUGAUGUAGUACUAUUAUUUCACCCUUUGUCAAUAAUCAAUAUUUUGCACUGCUUGCAAGCUUUUCUUCUUCUGAACUUCUGUUAUCUGCAGCACCUCACAACACUAUCUUGGAGGCUUAAGAUUAACAUCAUGAUGAUCUGUACAUACAUGCAAGCUCUAUAGCUCACAACAUGAAUAUGGACCUAGGUGGUUUAUCAUUAACAUCUGAGCACAAGAUUUCAGAUAAUAUCAUGCAAACUUGUCUUCCCCUGCAGUGGAAAAUGAGAACUAUACAGCUUUUGCAUUUCAGAGGUGUGUGGCAUUGUCAAUAUGAUGUACUAUUAUUUCACCCUUUGUCAAUAAUCAG
rnacentral:lncRNA from 1 species